GACAGAGGGUGCAAACGUUGUUCGGAAUUACUGGGCGUAAAGCGCGUGUAGGCGGCCAUCUAAGUCGGGCGUGAAAUCCCACGGCUCAACCGUGGAAGUGCACUCGAAACUGGAUGGCUAGAGUCCUGGAGAGGAAGGUGGAAUGCUUGGUGUAGAGGUGAAAUUCGUAGAUAUCAAGCGGAACACCGGUGGCGAAGGCAGCCUUCUGGGCAGUGACUGACGCUGAGACGCGAAAGCGUGGGGAGCAAACAGG
rnacentral:rRNA from 1 species